GGGUGAACGCUAGCUACAGGCUUAACACAUGCAAGUCGAGGGGCAGCAUUGAGAUAGCUUGCUAUUCAGAUGGCGACCGGCGCACGGGUGAGUAACGCGUAUCCAACCUUCCCCUUAGUAGAGGAUAGCCCGGCGAAAGUCGGAUUAAUACUCUAUGUUGUAUUUUGAGGACAUCUGACGAAUACCAAAGAUUCAUCGCUAAGGGAUGGGGAUGCGUCUGAUUAGCUUGUUGGCGGGGUAACGGCCCACCAAGGCGACGAUCAGUAGGGGUUCUGAGAGGAAGGUCCCCACAUUGGUACUGAGACACGGACCAAACUCCUACGGGAGGCAGCAGUGGGGAAUAUUGGUCAAUGGGGCGAGAGCCUGAACCAGCCAAGUAGCGUGCAGGAAGAACCUGCCCUAUGGGUUGUAAACUGCUUUUAUCAGGGAAUAAAGUGCGGCACGUGUGCUGUUUUGUAUGUACCUGAUGAAUAAGGACCGGCUAAUUCCGUGCCAGCCGCUGC
rnacentral:rRNA from 1 species